GACGAACGCUGGCGGCGUGCUUAACACAUGCAAGUGGAGCGACGAACCUGACUUCGGUCAGGGGCAGAGCCGCGAACGGGUGAGUAACACGUGGGUAACGUGCCCCAAUGACCGGGACAACCCGAGGAGACUCGGGCUAAUACCGGAUGUGGUCCCGUCACAUCAGUGACGUGACUAAAGGUAGCUUCGGCUUCCGCAUUGGGAUCGGCCCGCGGCGCAUUAGCUUGUUGGUGGGGUAAAAGGCCUACCAAGGCGACGAUGCGUAGCUGGUCUGAGAGGACGAUCAGCCACACUGGGACUGAGACACGGCCCAGACUCCUACGGGAGGCAGCAGU
rnacentral:rRNA from 1 species